rfam:Beauveria bassiana D1-5 contig00023, whole genome shotgun sequence.
AGCAGGAGGCUGAUAAAGCAAAAAAGAAUGAGCCGGCAGCGCAACGACUAGCGCGGCCGGCAAAA